ACUGUUUACCAAAAACAUAGCCCUCGAAAAAAUCGAAGGUGUAACCUGCCCAAUGACUACUAAUCAAAAAACAAAAAAAAUUUUUAAUGUAGUUUAAAGGACGCAGUAACCUGACUGUGAUAAUGUAGCAUAAUCAAUUGCCAUUUAAUUGAUGGAUAGUAUGAAUGGUUGAACGAAUAUUACACUGUCUCUAGUAGAAAAUUUAUGAAACUAAAAUAAUAGUGAAGAUGCUAUUUAAAACUGUAAGACGAAAAGACCCUAUAGAGCUUAACUAUAAACUUUUUCAAAAUAAUUAUUAAACAAAAUAAUAAACAAAAAGAUUGGUAGUUUAGUUGGGGCGACUGUUUUCUAUAAAUAACGAAAACUAGCAAAGUUAAUAAAAAAAAUAACUUAUUGUUUAAAAAACAAAUUUAACAAUUACAAAUGUAGGCUAUAGUGACCCAUUAAUUUUAAGAAAAAAAUUUAAUGAUUAAAGAAUAAAAGCUACCUUAGGGAUAACAGGAUAAUUUUGUCUUAGAGACCAUAUCGAAGACAAAGUUUGUCACCUCUAUGUUGAAUUGAGAUAUCCAGAUAAUGUAGAAGUUAUCAAAGGUAGGUCUGUUCGACCUUUAAAAUCUCACAUGAUUUGAG
rnacentral:rRNA from 1 species